AUUCAAAAAUAUAAAGUUAUGCACUAUUGAAAGAAAACCAUUGGUAUGCAUUAUAAGUUGCACUUUAGCGUGCAUUGUUAGACAUACAUAUGAGUGAUUUUGUUUUUGUAGGGCUGAUUUGGGGUCGAAAUUCAGCCCCUGUCCUAAUUGAAAAUAUAUGAUGUCUUUUUUCUCAAAAUGUAGUGGAAGUUUUCCCAAAGAAAAACUUACAAAAUAUGUGAUCAAAUUCGGUUGGUUUAGGCAUGUUGGAUAUCUUCAAAUAUUAGUUUAUGCUUACCCCUAUUAGUUCUUGAUGCAAGUAAUUAGAUAAUUCAUACCAAGAAAAGUCUUAUUUGGUUAUAACAAUUGUUUGUUGAUUGAGGUAAAACAAAGACAAGAACAGAGCUUUUCGACAAUGUUUUUUAAGUGAUAUAUGCAUUCGGAGUCACCUUAGUGUGCAUUUUUAGUCAUAUCUCUUUACUUUAAUAUAUAUAUGCAUAUUAUGCAUUGUUGAAACAUUACCGGGUAUGCAUUAUGAGUAACGCUUUAGUUAGCAUUCUUAGAAAUACAUGUGAUAUAUAUGCAUUGUAAGUCACCUUAGUAUGCAUUGUCAGUCAUAUCUCUUUACUUCAACAUAUAUAUUUGCAUAAUUCAUGUAUGCAUUGUUGAAACAUAACUGGGUAUGCAUUGUAAGCCACACUUUAGUGUGCAUUGUUAGUCACACAUAUGAUAUAUGCAUUGUGAGUCACCUUAGUGUGCAUAGUCAGUCAUAUAUUAUCUUUUUACUUCAAUGUAUAUAUUAUGCAAGGUAUGCAUUGUUGAGGCUUAUCUGGGUAUGCAUUAUAAGUCUCACUUCAGUGUGCAUUGUAUGUCAUACAGGAUAUUUAUAUGUGCAUUGUAUUCUGUUUAAUGUGUAUUGUCAGUCAGACUUUUCUUUUACGUCGACGUACACAUAUGCCUAAUAUGCAAUUUUCAUCUUUGGCAUGCAUUAUAGGUCACACUGGCAUGUGUAUUGUUAGGCAUACAUAUAUAUAGUGUAUACAAAAUGAUCAAAUGAGGUAUGCAUUGUAAGUCGCAAUAUAUGGUGCAUUGUUAGUCAUACAUAUCAAAUCAAUACAGGUUGAUAAAAAUUUGAAUCAUGUAUCAGCAGUUCAUUCAAUACAUAUUCAAGCAUUUUAUUUGGCUUGUUAUAUUUGAAACUUAUUUCUGACAAUUUUUUAAAACUGCUGCAACUAAGAAAGUUUAUUUGAACACUUGGCAAUUGCUAUGUUCUGACACAUUUUAGAUUUUUUGCAGGAAAUAUGUCAAAGAGAAGCAGGUGUAUGGUGUCAAAAGAUACAUGGCAAGGAAGGAAUCCACACAAAAAAAGUCGAAAACUGGUGAAAAACAUUGACUAUGAAAAACUCGCUGCUGAGGUACUAAAACAACAAAAUCAGUCAACAACGAGCAGCAAGGAGUCAGGAUGACCAUUCCUAGCAGAACUAUUGAGCCAACUUCAUCUCCGAGCACUCCCUAGGCAACCCCUCCUACACAGAGCACUAUUCAGGCAUCCCCUCCAUCUACUCGGAGCACUAUCCAGACAACCCCGAUAGCUACUCAAAAUACUGAAAGGUCAUCAAGCAGGACAAUAAGGGUUGGACACUGUGUCAGGAAGUCAAGAUGCCUCAGUGGAGAAAUUGGUGACCAGUGUAUUGGAAGAAAUUCGUUGAGUUGACUCUUCAGGCCAGAAGGUGUCUGCUGAAAAUCAUAUUGUUGGCUGCAAUCUAUCAUAAAGUGUAGUUUUUGUGAAGUUAAACCUUCAGGCCAGAAGGUGUCUGCUGAGGUCUAUCAUGAACUGUGGGUUUGAUGAAGUCAACUUCCAGGCCAGAAGUUGUCUGCUGAAAAUUAUCACGAAUUGUAUAUUGGGUAAAGUUCAACUUUAGGCCAGAAGUUGUCUGCUGAUGUUUGGAGAAUAUCAUGUAUCGUACACAUAUGUGGCUAUCCAUUUGCAUUUAAUAGGUGAUAGCUAAGGUUUAAAGUAUGGGUAUUGCGAUACCAAAGAUUGUCUUUUUAAUUGUAUUUUGUAGACAUGUUUUGAGCCAAACUCCUUUAACUUACAUUCUAACUUACAUUAAUAUCGGUCAUUAUCAAACAUAUGUAACCUUGGUGUUGCAAUUGUUACCAAGGAAAAAAAAAUGUGCCUACCUCUGAGUUGAUCAAGUACAUCAUGAAAUAGUCAGAUUUGAAUGUGCAAAAUUAUUACUACUCGGUGAUUUCUAAUUAUACAUGUAAUAGGAAAACUGGUUAUAAUGUAUGUCCUCGUUAUACAAGUUCACUUUGGGUGGCAGUGUGUACAAACAUUGCAUGCUUGUACUUUGGCAGUUUUUGUCUGCCACCUUUUUUGCUGAUUGUUAUUUUUUACAUUCUGGAUUGUUUAUUUGGAUUUUCUUCAUGUAAUAUGUUACACUGGGGAGAUCAACUAAUGUUUUGUACAAAUUUACACAUUCUUUCAAGAGUGAUCUCCCCUUUAUCUGAUGUAUCUUUUCAUUAUCUGUCGUCAUUUAUACAUGUAUAAUAAAUGACAAAUUCAUCCAUCAAACUUUGUGUUUGCGUUACUUUAAUAUGGAUGUGAUAUGGUCUACAUAAAUUUAGAAGUGUGUGCAAAAAACUAGCUUCAGUGAACUUGUAAAAUUAGUUAAAUUACACUGGAGAACAUAAAACUGCAUUAUUGUAAAUAAUAGCAUUUAUGUACUCAUGUAAUGAUUUUAUGUACUCAUGUAAUGAAGUUUUGAGUUUGUACUUUUAGCUUGUUAAUCAAUCCGUUUUUAUCCGUGUUUCAAUUUUGUGUCAAUAUUAGAGCGAUCGAUAGGGGGUAAUUUUACCGACCAAUCAGAAGAGACACUAAAUGUAGAUUCUACGUCACUUCUUGUUUUGAUUCGAUCGCAGUAAGAAGGGUUUUGCAAGUGUUGCCCACCAUCCACCCCGAUCAUUAUUCCACCUUUAUGCCAUACUGCUAAAUUAAUAUGCAAUGUAAAGGGUUAAUGUAUAAAAAUGUUUAAAAAUACAUAUAUGUUUAUAUAUUUUAAUAUGAUUUUAUUUUGGCAGUUGUUUAUCUGCCAAAGCAGUUUUUGUCUGCCACCUUUUUUGCUGAUUGUUAUUUUUUACAUUCUGGAUUGUUUAUUUGGAUUUUCUUCAUGUAAUAUGUUACACUGGGGAGAUCAACUAAUGUUUUGUACAAAUUUACACAUUCUUUCAAGAGUGAUCUCCCCUUUAUCUGAUGUAUCUUUUCAUUAUCUGUCGUCAUUUAUACAUGUAUAAUAAAUGACAAAUUCAUCCAUCAAA